rnacentral:rRNA from 1 species
UAGGUAACCUGCCUCUUAGCGGGGGAUAACUAUUGGAAACGAUAGCUAAUACCGCAUAAAAGUCGACAUUGCAUGAUGUUGACUUGAAAGGUGCAAAUGCAUCACUAAGAGAUGGACCUGCGUUGUAUUAGCUAGUUGGUGAGGUAACGGCUCACCAAGGCGACGAUACAUAGCCGACCUGAGAGGGUGAUCGGCCACACUGGGACUGAGACACGGCCCAGACUCCUACGGGAGGCAGCAUG